rnacentral:lncRNA from 1 species
CCGGUUCAUCUAAACAAACAAACAAACAAACAAACAAAACCCCCAAAACAAACAAACAAAAAAACCAAAAUCAGGGAGUGCUCUUAACUGCUGUAUCUUCUGGCUUUUUUUUUUUUUUAAUUUUUAAUUUUUGUAAUGUAAGAAGACAGCAAGCAAAAUAAGUGUGUAGGCAAUUAAAUGAAAAUUGCACUUGGUUUUUCCAAAGUGGAGAAAUCUUGCUAGGACAGCUGUCCACAUCGGGACAGCUGGCAUAUCUACAUCUACGUAUCUUUGAAAUGUCUCUCCAGGUAAGACAAUGUCUACCAACCACCCAAUGGCUGUAUUUUCGCCUGUCUUCCAACUCUCCUUUCUUUUUGGAGCUUGAGUCAGGAAGGAUGUUGUCCGGGGAAUGCCUGCCUUAUCCAACAGUUCAUCCCGGUGGCAGCCUUGCUCCACGACUUAGGUCAGUCAUGCAGGGGAGCUCUGCAGCACUUUCUCCCCUGCCAACUCACUGGAGUUUAAAAAAAAAAAUCCCAAAUUACCUUUUAGGCAUGUGAAAAUAGACAGCACAGCAGAGGUUCGCUGUGCUAAUCUUUGGGGAGUUAAAAACCAAGGCUUCCAUACGUACCUUUGAUGAUUCUGCAAGGUAAAGGUUGAGAGUAAACAGAGGAUGAGGCAACAACAUGAACACACAAAUCAGUGACUUAUUCUGUGUAGUAUAGUAGUUUAAUGUGACAAGACUGGAUGAAUAAAAGCUUACUAUUAACUUUGACUUCA